rnacentral:lncRNA from 1 species
AGUUGGCAGGAUGGCAGCAGCAGACACACAGGGUGGUUAAGAACAACAAACACAGGCAAACCACUUCAAUAGAACAUGGCUGGCGGCCAUAUGGACAUAUUUGAAUCCAACAAUUAAUUCAGCAAAGAAAGCUGCUUGUGGCAAGUUUUGAAUGUGCCAUUCCAGGUAGUGCUUUGAUGAUAAAUGAGGAGAAGAUUGCAAAGAAAAUGACAGCAACAUUUAUAAAAGGUUACAGGAAUGCAGAUGUGAUUCCUAUGGAUGAGGGUAACCUAGAGGCUAGAAGAACAAUAGGACAGAAGAAGCCUGGGUCCCUGAACAACCUUGUGGAGCAUAGACACCUACGUGGCCUGGACUGCCAGCUCACAAUGGGCCUCUCUGUGAGAGAAGGAAACUUCCCUCUUGUUUAAGCAACUGUGCUUUUGAGAAUCUCUUGGUCUAUACCCUAAUGAAUAAGGCCAUCAUAAAUGGAUAUCAAAGUAAGGAAAUUUGUGUAAAUGAUUUAAUAAAACAUUACCUCAGGUAUGAAAUAA